UCCAGGGUAACCUAGUGGACAUGGCAUCUGUCCGGUAAGCGGGUAGCGGGUAACUGUGGGUUCGAUUCCCAUCCUUGGAC